GGCCCAGACUCCUACGGGAGGCAGCAGUGGGGAAUAUUGCACAAUGGGGGAAACCCUGAUGCAGCAACGCCGCGUGAGUGAAGAAGUAUUUCGGUAUGUAAAGCUCUAUCAGCAGGGAAGAGAAUGACGGUACCUGACUAAGAAGCCCCGGCUAACUACGUGCCAGCAGCCGCGGUAAUACGUAGGGGGCGAGCGUUAUCCGGAUUUACUGGGUGUAAAGGGGGCGCAGACGGCAGCGCAAGCCAGGAGUGAAAGCCCGGGGCCCAACCCCGGGACUGCGCUUGGAACUGCGCGGCUGGAGUGCAGGAGGGGCAGGCGGAAUUCCUGGUGUAGCGGUGAAAUGCGUAGAUAUCAGGAGGAACACCAGUGGCGAAGGCGGUCUGCUGGACAGCAACUGACGGUGAGGCGCGAAAGCGUGGGGAGCAAACAGGAUUAGAUACCCUUGUAAC
rnacentral:rRNA from 1 species